rnacentral:rRNA from 1 species
CUCUGUGACUCCUACGGGAGGCAGCAGUGGGGAAUAUUGCACAAUGGGGGAAACCCUGAUGCAGCCAUGCCGCGUGUGUGAAGAAGGCCUUCGGGUUGUAAAGCACUUUCAGUAGGGAGGAAGGUAGUGUAGUUAACACCUGCACUAUUUGACGUUACCUACAGAAGAAGCACCGGCUAACUCCGUGCCAGCAGCCGCGGUAAUACGGAGGGUGCGAGCGUUAAAUCGGAAUUACUGGGCGUAAAGCGCAUGCAGGCGGCCUGUUAAGUCAGAUGUGAAAGCCCCGGGGCUUAACCUCGGAAUUGCAUUUGAAACUGGCAGGCUAGAGUCUUGUAGAGGGGGUAGAAUUUCAGGUGUAGCGGUGAAAUGCGUAGAGAUCUGAAGGAAUACCAGUGGCGAAGGCGGCCCCCUGGACAAAGACUGACGCUCAGAUGCGAAAGCGUGGGGAGCAAACAGGAUUAGAUACCCUGGUAG